AGCAGUCGCCGCGGUAAUACAGAGGGUGCGAGCGUUAAUCGGUUUUACUGGGCGUAAAGCGUGCGUAGGCGGCUUCUUAAGUCGGAUGUGAAAUCCCUGAGCUUAACUUAGGAAUUGCAUUCGAUACUGGGAAGCUAGAGUAUGGGAGAGGAUGGUAGAAUUCCAGGUGUAGCGGUGAAAUGCGUAGAGAUCUGGAGGAAUACCGAUGGCGAAGGCAGCCAUCUGGCCUAAUACUGACGCUGAGGUACGAAAGCAUGGGGAGCAAACAGGAUUAGAUACCCGAGUAGUCCCUGUCUCUUAUAA
rnacentral:rRNA from 1 species